UCAAAAGCUCCCCUACUGAGCACCUUGUGACCCCCACUCUGCCCGCCAGAGAACAACCCCCCUUUGACUGUAAUUUUCCUUUAUCUACCCAAAUCCUAUAAAACGGCCCCACCCUUAUCUCCCCCUUCACUGACUCUCUUUUCGGACUCAGCUCGCCUACACCCAGGUGAUUAAAAGCUUUAUUGCUCACACAAAGCCUGUUUAGUAGUCUCCUCCACUGACGCGCAUGAAAUUUGGUGCCGUGACUCGGAUCAGGGGACUUCCCUUAGGAGAUCAAUCCCCUGUCCUCCUGCUCUUUGCUCCGUGAGAAAGAUCCACCUAUGACCUCAGGUCCUCAGACCGACCAGCCCAAGAAACAUCUCACCAAUUUCAAAUACGGACCCCACUGAAAACUGGACUGUUCAACUCACCUGGCAGCCACUUCCAGAACUCCUGGAACUCUAGCCCAAGGCUCUCUGACUCUUUCCCAGAUCUUCUCGGCUUAGCAGCUGAAGACUGACACUGCCGGAUCGCCUCAGAAGCCUGCAGGACCAUCACAGACACUCUAGGUAACUCUCACAGUAGAAGAGUUGCAGGGUGUUUAAGUUUGAAGAUACUGCCUGAUCCAUCAUUUCACAGAGAAAGAAGCUGAGGUUCAGAGGAGAAUCUUGGAGAAGUUGCUGUUCCAGGUCUUGCAAGAUUGAAAACCUAAUCAUUGGAACUGCACCAAUUCGCCCGUCUUCGUGUUCAGAAGAUCUCUUCCUGUGCUCUCAGAGGAGGACGGGCCAUGGAAGGAGUUGGGACUUUCCCCCUUUUGACCCUUGGCACCUUCAUCAGAACUUAGCCUGGGACUCCUUUCUCCGCUGACCUGGGGCAGCCAGUCUUGCAACCAAAGCCCUCUACUGAAACGCUCCGUGCAGCCCUGUCUACUGAGGGCUCAGGAUCUUCACCUUGCUACUUGACCAGUCCUGGGACUCCAUCCUCAGCUCACUACAGGCAACACCCUUCAAAGCAAGAUCCUUGCUUCAAUGGGACCUCAGAUUUGGACAUUCAGGUUUCUGGGGCUCCACUAUGCACAGCUGGGGCUUCCCCCACCAGACCAAGAUUCUCCUUUCCCUGAGACCCUCCAGGCCGAAAUGACAGUCACCUCAACCUGACAGCUCUUCCUGAGCUUCCCAAGUCACAGGAGAGGCUUUUGGUUUUGGACCAUGAGAAUGGCUUACAUAUUCAAAAGGUGGGAUUUGGGAAGCAAUGCUAAGCAGUGGAAUGGACAUCGACAUAGAGAGAUCAGCUCCACACUUAUACUCUGCCACUCAACUUCCCCAUGUGACUUGAGGAUCACUCUGACUCCAAAACAUAGCAAGCUCGCGGAACAUCAUUCAUGCAAAGUAUUCCAAGGAGCCCCUUGAAGCAACAGAAUGGAUUUCUCUUCUAUGGUGGAAUGGCACCCUGGAUGAUUAAAACCGUAGCAGCAAACAAAACCUCCAUCAAAUAUUCCUGAAAACAAAGUCAAGUUAUAUUUCUACAGUACUAGCGUCUGCUUAAAGAAAUGACAAGGUGAAGUCUUUCACAAACCUCUAGAUUUAUGUGCCAGUCUUCAGGAAAUAUGGUGAUAGAAGAACCUGCUAAAUGAUGCUAUAAGGAUACAAUCAGCCAAAUUCUGAAUUGGAAAAUCCUACACGAAUAAUUACCCCAUUUUUUUUCAACAAAUGUAUGGCAUAGAAAAUGAGAGAAUGGUUAUAGACUGACUGAAAGACAUAUCAACCAAAUGCAACGUGUAGGCUCCUUUUGGAUUUUGAGUCAAACCAAACAACAAUAAAAAGAUAUUUGUGAAAUAAAUAUUGAAGAAAAUCAAAUAUAAAUGUACUAUUGGUGAUAUCAAGGAAUUAUUUUUAAUGUAUUGAGUGUGAUAAGGGUAUUGCGGCUAUGUGUUUCUUAAAAGACCUUGUUUAUAAAAGACACAUGCUAAAGUAUUUACCAGUGAAAUAAUAUAACAUCUAGUAUUUGCUUUAAAGUAUUGACAUAUUCAUAUAUCACUUGUGCAAUUAAAAAUAAGUUAAAAUGCAUUGCAAACAAUUUUCUGUUGUGGUAUGUUCAGAACAUAGCAAAUAAAUGAAAGAAAUCCCAUUUACUAAGC